AUGGCCCAUUCCUGCCACGCCUACGAUCUUGUGCUACGACGGUAUCUCUUGGCCCUGCACCACCUCCUCGACUACGUCCGCUUCGUCGCGGCGGUCGUCCUGGACCGCCUCGGCAUCGUCUCGUUCGACGGCGAGAUGCUGCCCGGUGAGCCUUGGAGCGAGCUCGUCGACACUGCGCCGAUGGAGCGCCUCAUGGAGGCAGCGUUCUGGCAGCCCAGCUCACCGCCGAAGGUGAAUCGUUCGUCUUCGUGGACGGCGCCACAGUACAGACGACCGCGGGUUGCGCCGGCGGAUGUCGAGGGAGCCGAGGACGACGACGGGUGCGUGGGCAUCUGCGCGAUUUGCUUGGCGGCGCUCGACGUGGGAGGGCAACUGGUCACGGAGUUGUGCAACUGCUCGCAUGCGUUCCACGCCGCCUGCAUCGAUUCUUGGAUCGGCAGCGGCGAGGCCGGCACUUGCCCGAUGUGCCGCACCCCGACGGUACCAACGGCGUGGUGGAACGGUUGGCGAGAAGUAGUGCCACGCACGUCUUUAUCUCCUUGA
rnacentral:rRNA from 1 species